rnacentral:rRNA from 1 species
CCUACGGGUGGCAGCAGUAGGGAAUCUUCCACAAUGGGCGAAAGCCUGAUGGAGCAACGCCGCGUGGGUGAAGAAGGUCUUCGGAUCGUAAAACCCUGUUGUUAGAGAAGAAAGUGCGUGAGAGUAACUGUUCACGUUUCGACGGUAUCUAACCAGAAAGCCACGGCUAACUACGUGCCAGCAGCCGCGGUAAUACGUAGGUGGCAAGCGUUAUCCGGAUGGAUUGGGCGUAAAGGGAACGCAGGCGGUCUUUUAAGUCUGAUGUGAAAGCCUUCGGCUUAACCGGAGUAGGGCAUUGGAAACUGGGAGACGUGAGUGCAGAAGAGGAGAGUGGAACUCCAUGUGUAGCGGUGAAAUGCGUAGAUAUAUGGAAGAACACCAGUGGCGAAAGCGGCUCUCUGAUCUGUAACUGACGCUGAGGUUCGAAAGCGUGGGUAGCAAACAGGAUUAGAUACCCGAGUAGUC